GGAGGAAAAGAAACCAACUGGGAUUACCUUAGUAACGGCGAGUGAAGCGGUAAAAGCUCAAAUUUGAAAUCUGGUACUUUCAGUGCCCGAGUUGUAAUUUGUAGAAUUUGUCUUUGAUUAGGUCCUUGUCUAUGUUCCUUGGAACAGGACGUCAUAGAGGGUGAGAAUCCCGUUUGGCGAGGAUACCUUUUCUCUGUAAGACUUUUUCGAAGAGUCGAGUUGUUUGGGAAUGCAGCUCAAAGUGGGUGGUAAAUUCCAUCUAAAGCUAAAUAUUGGCGAGAGACCGAUAGCGAACAAGUACAGUGAUGGAAAGAUGAAAAGAACUUUGAAAAGAGAGUGAAAAAGUACGUGAAAUUGUUGAAAGGGAAGGGCAUUUGAUCAGACAUGGUGUUUUUUGCAUGCACUCGCCUCUCGUGGGCUUGGGCCUCUCAAAAAUUUCACUGGGCCAACAUCAAUUCUGGCAGCAGGAUAAAUCAUUAAGAAUGUAGCUACUUCGGUAGUGUUAUAGCUUUUUGGAAUACUGUUAGCCGGGAUUGAGGACUGCGCUUCGGCAAGGAUGUUGGCAUAAUGGUUAAAUGCCGCCCGU
rnacentral:rRNA from 1 species